rnacentral:rRNA from 1 species
UGGGGAAUAUUGCACAAUGGGCGCAAGCCUGAUGCAGCCAUGCCGCGUGUGUGAAGAAGGCCUUCGGGUUGUAAAGCACUUUCAGCGAGGAGGAAGGUGGUGAGCUUAAUACGCUCAUCAAUUGACGUUACUCGCAGAAGAAGCACCGGCUAACUCCGUGCCAGCAGCCGCGGUAACACGGAGGGUGCAAGCGUUAAUCGGAAUUACUGGGCGUAAAGCGCACGCAGGCGGUUUGUUAAGUCAGAUGUGAAAUCCCCGGGCUCAACCUGGGAACUGCAUUUGAAACUGGCAAGCUAGAGUCUCGUAGAGGGGGGUAGAAUUCCAGGUGUAGCGGUGAAAUGCGUAGAGAUCUGGAGGAAUACCGGUGGCGAAGGCGGCCCCCCUGGACGAAGACUGACGCUCAGGUGCGAAAGCGUGGGGCAGCAAACAGGAUUAGAUACCCUGGUAGUCCAGCGCUGUAAACGAUGUCGAUUUGGAGGUUGUGCCCCUUGAGGCGUGGCUUCCGGAGCUAACGCGUUAAAUCGACCG